rnacentral:rRNA from 1 species
UACGAAGGGGGCUAGCGUUGCUCGGAUUGACUGGGCGUAAAGAGCGUGUAGGCGGCCAGGUAGGUCUGCUGUGAAAACUCGAGGCUCAACCUCGAGACGUCGGCGGAAACCAUCUGGCUAGAGUCCGGAAGAGGAGAAUGGAAUUCCCGGUGUAGCGGUGAAAUGCGCAGAUAUCGGGAAGAACACCCGUGGCGAAGGCGGUUCUCUGGGACGGUACUGACGCUGAGACGCGAAAGCGUGGGGAGCGAACAGG